rnacentral:rRNA from 1 species
UACGUAGGGUGCAAGCGUUGUCCGGAAUUAUUGGGCGUAAAGAGCUCGUAGGCGGUUUGUCGCGUCUGCCGUGAAAGUCCGGGGCUCAACUCCGGAUCUGCGGUGGGUACGGGCAGACUAGAGUGAUGUAGGGGAGACUGGAAUUCCUGGUGUAGCGGUGAAAUGCGCAGAUAUCAGGAGGAACACCGAUGGCGAAGGCAGGUCUCUGGGCAUUAACUGACGCUGAGGAGCGAAAGCAUGGGGAGCGAACGGG